rnacentral:rRNA from 1 species
GAUGAACGCUGGCGGCGUGCCUAAUACAUGCAAGUCGAACGCUGGAAAUCUAGCUUGCUAGAUUGAAGGAGUGGCGAACAGGUGAGUAAUACAUAAGCAACCUACCCACGAAGACUGGGAUAAUCUCUGGAAACGGGGACUAAUACCGGAUAGGUAAUCGGAAGGCAUCUUCUGAUUAUUAAAGGUUAAAAACACUGGUGGAUGGGCUUAUGGCGCAUUAGUUAGUUGGUGAGGUAACGGCCCACCAAGACGAUGAUGCGUAGCCGGCCUGAGAGGGUGAACGGCCACAUUGGGACUGAGACACGGCCCAGACUCCUACGGGAGGCAGCAGUAGGGAAUUUUCGGCAAUGGGGGAUACCCUGACCGAGCCACGCCGCGUGAGUGAUGACGGCCUUCGGGUUGUAAAGCUCUGUUGUAAGGGAAGAACGGUAGAUAGAGAAUAUAUAAAUGACGGUACCUUACCAGAAAGCCACGGCUAACUACGUG